CCUACGGGAGGCAGCAGUGGGGAAUUUUGGACAAUGGGCGCAAGCCUGAUCCAGCAAUGCCGCGUGAGUGAAGAAGGCCUUCGGGUUGUAAAGCUCUUUUGUCAGGGAAGAAACGGUGAAGGCUAAUAUCUUUUGCUAAUGACGGUACCUGAAGAAUAAGCACCGGCUAACUACGUGCCAGCAGCCGCGGUAAUACGUAGGGUGCAAGCGUUAAUCGGAAUUACUGGGCGUAAAGCGUGCGCAGGCGGUUUUGUAAGUUUGUCGUGAAUCCCCGGGCUCAACCUGGGAAUGGCGAUGAAGACUGCAAGGCUAGAAUCUGGCAGAGGGGGGUAGAAUUCCACGUGUAGCAGUGAAAUGCGUAGAGAUGUGGAGGAACACCGAUGGCGAAGGCAGCCCCCUGGGUCAAGAUUGACGCUCAUGCACGAAAGCGUGGGGAGCAAACAGGAUUAGAUACCCUGGUAGUCCACGCCCUAAACGAUGUCUACUAGUUGUCGGGUUUUAAUUAACUUGGUAACGCUAGCUAACGCGUGAAGUAGACCGCCUGGGGAGUACGGUCGCGAAGAUUAAAACGUUCAAAAGUUAGUUAAGUUACGGACGGNGNGAGAGCGACGACGACGACGACGGAGGAGGAGG
rnacentral:rRNA from 1 species